GAGUUUGAUCCUGGCUCAGGACGAACGCUGGCGGCGCGCCUAACACAUGCAAGUCGAACGAGCGAGAGAGAGCUUGCUUUCUCGAGCGAGUGGCGAACGGGUGAGUAACGCGUGAGGAACCUGCCUCAAAGAGGGGGACAACAGUUGGAAACGACUGCUAAUACCGCAUAAGCCCACAGCUCGGCAUCGAGCAGAGGGAAAAGGAGCAAUCCGCUUUGAGAUGGCCUCGCGUCCGAUUAGCUAGUUGGUGAGGUAAUGGCCCACCAAGGCGACGAUCGGUAGCCGGACUGAGAGGUUGAACGGCCACAUUGGGACUGAGACACGGCCCAGACUCCUACGGGAGGCAGCAGUGGGGAAUAUUGCACAAUGGGGGAAACCCUGAUGCAGCGACGCCGCGUGGAGGAAGAAGGUCUUCGGAUUGUAAACUCCUGUUGUUGAGGAAGAUAAUGACGGUACUCAACAAGGAAGUGACGGCUAACUACGUGCCAGCAGCCGCGGUAAAACGUAGGUCACAAGCGUUGUCCGGAAUUACUGGGUGUAAAGGGAGCGCAGGCGGGAAGACAAGUUGGAAGUGAAAUCUAUGGGCUCAACCCAUAAACUGCUUUCAAAACUGUUUUUCUUGAGUAGUGCAGAGGUAGGCGGAAUUCCCGGUGUAGCGGUGGAAUGCGUAGAUAUCGGGAGGAACACCAGUGGCGAAGGCGGCCUACUGGGCACCAACUGACGCUGAGGCUCGAAAGUGUGGGUAGCAAACAGGAUUAGAUACCUGGUAGUCCACACCGUAAACGAUGAUUACUAGGUGUUGGAGGAUUGACCCCUUCAGUGCCGCAGUUAACACAAUAAGUAAUCCACCUGGGGAGUACGACCGCAAGGUUGAAACUCAAAGGAAUUGACGGGGGCCCGCACAAGCAGUGGAGUAUGUGGUUUAAUUCGACGCAACGCGAAGAACCUUACCAAGUCUUGACAUCCCUUGACGAACAUAGAAAUAUGUUUUCUCUUCGGAGCAAGGAGACAGGUGGUGCAUGGUUGUCGUCAGCUCGUGUCGUGAGAUGUUGGGUUAAGUCCCGCAACGAGCGCAACCCUUACUGUCAGUUACUACGCAAGAGGACUCUGGCAGGACUGCCGUUGACAAAACGGAGGAAGGUGGGGAUGACGUCAAAUCAUCAUGCCCUUUAUGACUUGGGCUACACACGUACUACAAUGGCGUUAAACAAAGAGAAGCAAGACCGCGAGGUGGAGCAAAACUCAGAAACAACGUCCCAGUUCGGACUGCAGGCUGCAACUCGCCUGCACGAAGUCGGAAUUGCUAGUAAUCGUGGAUCAGCAUGCCACGGUGAAUACGUUCCCGGGCCUUGUACACACCGCCCGUC
rnacentral:rRNA from 1 species